AUUGAACGCUGGCGGCAUGCCUUACACAUGCAAGUCGAACGGUAACGCGGGGCAACCUGACGACGAGUGGCGGACGGGUGAGUAAUAUAUCGGAACGUGCCCAGUAGUGGGGGAUAGCCCGGCGAAAGCCGGAUUAAUACCGCAUGAGACCUGAGGGUGAAAGCGGGGGAUCGCAAGACCUCGCGCUAUUGGAGCGGCCGAUAUCAGAUUAGCUAGUUGGUGGGGUAAAGGCCUACCAAGGCAACGAUCUGUAGUUGGUCUGAGAGGACGACCCGCCACACUGGGACUGAGACACGGGCCAGACUCCUACGGGAGGCAGCAGUGGGGAAUUUUGGAAAAUGGGCGCGAGCCUGAUCCAGCAAUGCCGCGUGCAGGAAGAAGGCCUUCGGGUUGUAAACUGCUUUUGUCAGGGAAGAAAUCUUCUGGGUUAAUACCUCGGGAGGAUGACGGUACCUGAAGAAUAAGCACCGGCUAACUACGUGCCAGCCGCCGCAGUAAUAC
rnacentral:rRNA from 1 species